rnacentral:misc_RNA from 1 species
GUCGAAAGGUGCAUGAGUGGUGUUUGGUUUGUUACGUGUGGUUGGCUGCGGCGUUUGCAACAACUUCCAUGCUUUCAGACCUCUUCAGUUGUGCGGCAAGGCUUGUAUCGCCUUGAGCGUACUGUGGGUUUUCUGUGUUGGCUACCUAAUCAAUGGUAUCGGUUGGAUCGAUCAAAGUUUGAUUUCGUCUUCCGUCGCAUUCGCGGCGUGAGGUGAACCUCGAUGCGGUCUCUUUGAUCCACCUCAUUGAAGCAUGUGCUUUGACGUUGUGGCCCAUUGAGCAUUGCUUGGUCUCUUGUAUACGGAACAUAUAGUGGGCAUGGAUCUAACGAUCCUUGUUUGCCCUCAUGUUAGCGUAACGCUUCUCUAACACGACUUGCGCCAUGUUUUAGCUCGUACGGACGUGGC